ACUGGGUACCAGUUGGCCACAUGAGUAUGAUACUUUCUUUUCAGGGCCAUCCAUAUAUCCAGAUGAGGGGAUUGAGGGUGUUACUCAGUCCGCAGAUGCUCCGAUAGCACAGCAGACCAUUCUUGAGAGGAUUGAGGAGGUUAUUCCUGAGCAGCAUGACCAACAGACCUUUACUGCUGUGGGGGAGGAGCCAUCAUAGCAGAUACAGGA
rnacentral:lncRNA from 1 species